AUGGGGUGUGUUGUAAUGUUGGAACCGACGUCAAGAUUUGUUGGAAUCGGCUUCUCGAUUUGCUGGAACCGGCAAUCACACUUGCUGGAAUCUAUGUCACGAGCGUAUCAUUUUGCUGCAACCAGCCGCAGAGAUUGCUGGAACCGGCAUCUAGAAUUGCUGGAACGGGCUUCUUCUUCUUCAACGACGCCUAUGGUGACCACGGUAACCAUGAUGUUUUUUUGCUUCUUUUUUUGUUGCAACCGGUAUAUGUUUUUCCUGCGACCGGUGAUUUGUUUUGUUACAACCGUUUUAUUUUUUUGGUACAUUCAUUCACGGCCGAGCUGA
rnacentral:rRNA from 1 species